UGCCCUCCGUCAUGUUUAAUUUAUAGGUUUACAUUUCUUUAACCAACAAUGGCCGACAAAUUGAAAUCAGAGGCGCUUAGGAAGCAGAGCACGGCAGAGCAACAGGAAGGGCAUCUCGGGGAUCCUUCAAAUAAUCAGCGAGAUGAGAAACCCAAGGAAAGGUAUGCAGAAUAGGCUGGAGCCAGGAGACCUGACUGGUCUGGAGGGUUGAUACACUGAUAACAAGUCUGUGAUGUAUUUAGGUGCUAAGCCAUUCAGGGAUUUAUAGACUAACAAAAGUAUUUUAAAGUC